AUGUCAGACUCAAAUUUUGAUAGCAGCAAGAAUAAUUUCUUUGAGGGGGAAAUAGAUGAUGAGGAAAGUGUGAUUUUGACAUUGGUGCCAGUUAAAGAAGAUCCAAAUAUAGAAUAAGCGUUUCUUCAACUUCUGAUGUCAAACCGGAGAAGCCUAAGAAACACAAUAAAGUUCAUCUACCUCAAACAAACAAUUCACAGCUCCACAAAAGCUAGAUGCAAAAUACCAGUCUUUCCCUUGCCGACCAUUUUGCCUCCCAUUAAUAAGUUGUGUCGGGAGACUUUGUGGAACUGGUGUCAACAACGAGUUUUGAGUCCUAAUGGCAAGAAAAUAGAAGUUUAUCUGAGGGCUCCAUAGACACGCUUACCCUGAACAACAGCAAGAUAUUCCUGAAAUGUCACAGGAGACCAGAUUACAGCCAUGGUUGAGGAAACACAAGGCAUUGACCAAGAGAGCAAGGCUUCAGAAAAGUCAUGAGAUGAAUGAGAAAGCAGAAGAGACUAAUACAUUUGAAGUGAUAACUUCAACUCAGGAAGCCAUGUUGGCAUCAUGGGCAAGAAUUGCUGUGAGAGCUGUUCAGCCUAAGGCUGUGAAUUCAUGUUCUAUUCCUGCUUCUGUUGAGGCCUUUUUGAGGUAAGCCUCUGGUGUUGGGUGUCAUAUGGUCUAUGGCAGACUUAUCUCGGUAGACACAAAGGGUUGGGUACACCUGCAGUUUCGUGCAGGUCAGGCCUGGGUGCCUACCACUCACAGGAGGAUGAUUUCUCUCUUCAUGUUACCUGCCUGCGUUUUUCCAUCCCUAGGCAUAGAAGAUAAUAUGUCAUGUGCUAACUGUGCUAAGAGGAAUAAGAGGAUGAUGAAAAGAUGAAUGACAAUGGAGA
rnacentral:lncRNA from 10 species